rnacentral:snRNA from 1 species
UCAAAGAGAAGAUUAGCAUGCCCCUGCGCAAGGAUGACAUGCAAAUUCGUGAAGCAGUCCAUAUUUUU